UGCAACCAACUUAGGAUUCAAAACUCAUUACCAGAUGUCGCUAGUGUCGCCCUUGUUGUUUAUCGUGAAACGAGGCAAAAUGGGUGAAACAAUUGGAUGCGAAUUAAUACUUAUAUUCCUGUGAUUUCAUAUAACAAAUUGAACUUCGUAACUUGUAUGCAUACUGUCAGUCAUUCCAAAAAGUUGACUUAGCGCUCAGUCACUUUCAAUCCAAUAGACCCAUCAUGUUGUCAAAAGCCUAAAACUAUGUGUGAAGCUCACAUAUCGUGGAAUAGAAUGUGUGGGGACAAGGUAUUUCCCCAUUAUUGCUACCACACCAACCACACCACGUCUAAUGCCUUACUAUUACUAAUACUAAAUUCAGCAACAUUCACCCAUAUGAUAAAGCAUCAGGAAAUUUAUCUCAACAUGUGGAGUAAUGCUGUUUGUUGCUGUGAAUUCAAUUUUUACAGUUUUUUCAUUAUGAGCAUUUCUGUGUGCUUAUUAAAAAAA